UGUUGAAACGGAUUUACGAGUGGCGAAGAUCGCUGCUAAGGCCAAAUCUUCACCGUUGAAACCUAACCCCAAUCUAGUUUUUACGUUCUUUUAAGAACUCUGUUGCAUUUAGUCAUUGUGAUGUUACAUAUCACAAUGAUGAAGAAAAUUUAUAAUUUUCUAUGUUCCUCUGGUUUUCUCGCCCAGUUCCAGAUGAAAAAUUGCUCGUCUUCAUUAAGACGAGGAGAAGAAGAAGGGUAUUCUCUGUAAGUCCGUUUCUUUUUCUGACCUUUUACAAGGUAACUUGAUUUUUU
rnacentral:telomerase_RNA from 1 species